rnacentral:rRNA from 1 species
ACGGUCCAAACUCCUACGGGAGGCAGCAGUGAGNGAAUACUUGGUCAAUGGGCGAGAGCCUGAACCAGCCAAGUAGCGUGAAGGAUGACCGCCCUAUGGGUUGUAAACUUCUUUUAUAAAGGAAUAAAGUCGGGUAUGGAUACCCGUUUGCAUGUACUUUAUGAAUAAGGAUCGGCUAACUCCGUGCCAGCAGCCGCGGUAAUACGGAGGAUCCGAGCGUUAUCCGGAUUUAUUGGGUUUAAAGGGAGCGUAGAUGGAUGUUUAAGUCAGUUGUGAAAGUUUGCGGCUCAACCGUAAAAUUGCAGUUGAUACUGGAUAUCUUGAGUGCAGUUGAGGCAGGCGGAAUUCGUGGUGUAGCGGUGAAAUGCUUAGAUAUCACGAAGAACUCCGAUUGCGAAGGCAGCCUGCUAAGCUGCAACUGA